CCCUUAGAUGUCCUGGGCCGCACGCGCGCUACACUGAUGCAUUCAACGAGUUCUACCUUGGCCGAGAGGCCUGGGCUAUCUUUUGAACCUGCAUCGUGAUAGGGAUAGAUUAUUGCAAUUAUUAAUCUUGAACGAGGAAUUCCUAGUAAACGCAGAUCAUCAAUCUGCAUUGAUUACGUCCCUGCCCUUUGUACACACCGCCCGUCGCACCUACCGAUUGAAUGGUCCGGUGAAGCCUCGGGAUUGUGGCGAGUUCCCUUUAUUGGGAGUUUGUCGCGAGAACUUGUCUAAACCUUAUCAUUUAGAGGAAGGUGAAGUCGUAACA
rnacentral:rRNA from 1 species